rnacentral:rRNA from 1 species
GACGAACGCUGGCGGCGUGCCUAAUACAUGCAAGUCGAACGAACUCUGGUAUUGAUUGGUGCUUGCAUCAUGAUUUACAUUUGAGUGAGUGGCGAACUGGUGAGUAACACGUGGGAAACCUGCCCAGAAGCGGGGGAUAACACCUGGAAACAGAUGCUAAUACCGCAUAACAACUUGGACCGCAUGGUCCGAGUUUGAAAGAUGGCUUCGGCUAUCACUUUUGGAUGGUCCCGCGGCGUAUUAGCUAGAUGGUGGGGUAACGGCUCACCAUGGCAAUGAUACGUAGCCGACCUGAGAGGGUAAUCGGCCACAUUGGGACUGAGACACGGCCCAAACUCCUACGGGAGGCAGCAGUAGGGAAUCUUCCACAAUGGACGAAAGUCUGAUGGAGCAACGCCGCGUGAGUGAAGAAGGGUUUCGGCUCGUAAAACUCUGUUGUUAAAGAAGAACAUAUCUGAGAGUAACUGUUCAGGUAUUGACGGUAUUUAACCAGAAAGCCACAGCUAACUACGUGCCAGCAGCCGCGGUAAUACGUAGGUGGCAAGCGUUGUCCGGAUUUAUUGGGCGUAAAGCGAGCGCAGGCGGUUUUUUAAGUCUGAUGUGAAAGCCUUCGGCUCAACCGAAGAAGUGCAUCGGAAACUGGGAAACUUGAGUGCAGAAGAGGACAGUGGAACUCCAUGUGUAGCGGUGAAAUGCGUAGAUAUAUGGAAGAACACCAGUGGCGAAGGCGGCUGUCUGGUCUGUAACUGACGCUGAGGCUCGAAAGUAUGGGUAGCAAACAGGAUUAGAUACCCUGGUAGUCCAUACCGUAAACGAUGAAUGCUAAGUGUUGGAGGGUUUCCGCCCUUCAGUGCUGCAGCUAACGCAUUAAGCAUUCCGCCUGGGGAGUACGGCCGCAAGGCUGAAACUCAAAGGAAUUGACGGGGGCCCGCACAAGCGGUGGAGCAUGUGGUUUAAUUCGAAGCUACGCGAAGAACCUUACCAGGUCUUGACAUACUAUGCAAAUCUAAGAGAUUAGACGUUCCCUUCGGGGACAUGGAUACAGGUGGUGCAUGGUUGUCGUCAGCUCGUGUCGUGAGAUGUUGGGUUAAGUCCCGCAACGAGCGCAACCCUUAUUAUCAGUUGCCAGCAUUAAGUUGGGCACUCUGGUGAGACUGCCGGUGACAAACCGGAGGAAGGUGGGGAUGACGUCAAAUCAUCAUGCCCCUUAUGACCUGGGCUACACACGUGCUACAAUGGAUGGUACAACGAGUUGCGAACUCGCGAGAGUAAGCUAAUCUCUUAAAGCCAUUCUCAGUUCGGAUUGUAGGCUGCAACUCGCCUACAUGAAGUCGGAAUCGCUAGUAAUCGCGGAUCAGCAUGCCGCGGUGAAUACGUUCCCGGGCCUUGUAUACACCGCCCGUCACACCAUGAGAGUUUGUAACACCCAAAGUCGGUGGGGUAACCUUUUAGGAACCAGCCGCCUAAGGUGGGACAGAUGAUUAGGGUG